rnacentral:misc_RNA from 1 species
UUGAAGAGGGUGUUGAGACUGG